CCUACGGGCGGCUGCAGUGGGGAAUAUUGGACAAUGGGGGGAACCCUGAUCCAGCCAUGCCGCGUGUGUGAAGAAGGCCCUCGGGUUGUAAAGCACUUUCAGUGAGGAAGAACGCCUGGUGGUUAAUACCCAUCAGGAAAGACAUCACUCACAGAAGAAGCACCGGCUAACUCCGUGCCAGCAGCCGCGGUAAUACGGAGGGUGCGAGCGUUAAUCGGAAUUAUUGGGCGUAAAGCGCGCGUAGGUGGCUUGAUAAGCCGGUUGUGAAAGCCCCGGGCUCAACCUGGGAACGGCAUCCGGAACUGUCAAGCUAGAGUGCAGGAGAGGAAGGUAGAAUUCCCGGUGUAGCGGUGAAAUGCGUAGAGAUCGGGAGGAAUACCAGUGGCGAAGGCGGCCUUCUGGACUGACACUGACACUGAGGUGCGAAAGCGUGGGUAGCAAACAGGAUUAGAUACCCUGGUAGUC
rnacentral:rRNA from 1 species